UACGAAGGGUGCAAGCGUUACUCGGAAUUACUGGGCGUAAAGCGUGCGUAGGUGGUGGUUUAAGUCAGAUGUGAAAGCCCUGGGCUCAACCUGGGAACUGCAUUUGAUACUGGAUCACUAGAGUGCGGUAGAGGAUAGUGGAAUUCCCGGUGUAGCAGUGAAAUGCGUAGAUAUCAGGAGGAACACCGGUGGUGUAGACGGCUUUCUGGACCGUAACUGACGCUGAGACACGAAAGCGUGGGUAGCAAACAGG
rnacentral:rRNA from 1 species